GGAGGGGUGGCAGAGCGGUUCAUCGCACCGGUCUUGAAAACCGGCAACGGCGCAAGUCGUUCGUGGGUUCGAAUCCCACCCCCUCCGCCA
rnacentral:tRNA from 1 species